AGAGUUUGAUCCUGGCUCAGGAUGAACGCUAGCGGCAGGCUUAACACAUGCAAGUCGAGGGGCAGCACGGGUAGCAAUACCUGGUGGCGACCGGCGCACGGGUGCGUAACGCGUAUGGAACCUACCCACCGCAGGGGGAUAGCCCACCGAAAGGUGGAUUAAUACCCCAUGGCUCCCCGGAAUCGCAUGAUUCUGGGUGUAAAGCUACGGCGGCGGUGGAUGGCCAUGCGUGCCAUUAGCUAGUCGGCAGGGUAAUAGCCUACCAAGGCAAUGACGGGUAGGGGACCUGAGAGGGUGGCCCCCCACAAUGGAACUGAAACACGGUCCAUACACCUACGGGUGGCAGCAGUAGGGAAUAUUAGAAAUGGGCGAAAGCCUGAUCUAGCAACACCGCGUGUGCGAUGAAGGCCUUCGGGUUGUAAAGCACUUUUUGGAGGGAAUAGGAAGGAAGGUACCUCCAGAAUAAGUCUCGGCUAACUACGUGCCAGCAGCCGCGGUAACACGUAGGAGGCAAACGUUAUCCGGAUUCACUGGGCGUAAAGCGCGUGUAGGUGGUUCUGUAAGUAGGGCGUGAAAGCUCCCGGCUCAACUGGGAGAGGCCGUACUAAACUGCAGAGCUAGAGGAUGGUAGAGGGAGGUGGAAUUCCAGGUGUAGUGGUGAAGUGCGCAGAUAUCUGGAGGAACACCAGUGGCGAAGGCGGCCUCCUGGACCAUUCCUGACACUCAGACGCGAAAGCUAGGGUAGCAAACGGAAUUAGAGACUCCGGUAGUCCUAGCCCUAAACGAUGCAGACUAGGCGUCGGCGGUUUAAUCACCGUCGGUGUCCAAGCUAACGCGAUAAGUCCGCCGCCUGAGGACUACGGCCGCAAGGCUAAAACUCAAAGGAAUUGACGGGUCCCCGCACAAGCAGCGGAGCGUGUGGUUUAAUUCGAUGCUCCGCGAAGAACCUUACCUGGGUUUGACAUAACAGUGGUAGAGAAGUGAAAACGGAUCGACCCUUCGGGGAGCUGUUACAGGUGUUGCAUGCCUGUCGUCAGCUCGUGUCGUGAGAUGUUCGGUUAAGUCCGCUAACGAGCGCAACCCGCGCUGUGUGUUACAAGUGUCACACAGUACCGCCGGUAUUAAGUCGGAGGAAGGUGCGGAUGACGUCAAGUCAGCAUGACCUUUAUAUCCAGGGCUACACACACGCUACAAUGGUCAGAACAAUAGGUUGCCAAGCCGCAAGGCGGAGCCAAUCCUCCAAAUCUGGCCUCAGUUCAGAUUGCAGGCUGCAACUCGCCUGCAUGAAGUCGGAGUUGCUAGUAACCGCAGGUCAGCAUACUGCGGUGAAUACGUUCCCGGGGAUUGUACACACCGCCCGUCA
rnacentral:rRNA from 1 species